rnacentral:sRNA from 1 species
GUAUUAAUAUUAUUAUUAUUAGUCAGUGGUGUAGUUGUAGACACUGCCACAGUCACAGUGCCUACAGUAGUGUGUAGUUUAGUGACUAGACUAAUAGUGUAGAAUCUACUCACUGUGAAGUGUGUCGACUGCCAGAUUGGCUUGAUCGCCACAUUUUACUUUAAGGGCAGUUGACAUUAAUCUUAUAGAUGAAGAAUAGCCUAUCAUUCUAUGCAUGUAGUACAUGAUAUGCUGUUCAUUGCAUUAUCUUUUCAUAAGCAAGCCUGCUCAAGAAGCUGCUGCAUGGAAGUCAAAAUAUGAUCGCUUUACUGAUGUUGAAAUUAUUUCCACCAGUCUUGAAGUCAGCCUGUAAAGAAUGCUAAGAAUUGAAUGAAAAUGCUGUCAUGAUAUCUUGUUUGUGCUGUUGUAUUUGUCCUUUGUGUUGGCUAAUUAUUCCAUGAAUAAAAAAUUUAAAAGAAAAAA